GCUGGCCCUUACCUCCUGCUCCACACGCAGGUGCCAGGCAGAGAGUGGGGAGAGGACCAGGGUCUGUGUCCACUGGGCCUUUUACCCUCUCCCUCAGCACUUCUGCCCCCACCUCCGUGUCCAGAACUGGGUCACACCCAGGCCACCGAUAGCUGCAAGAGAGUCUGGGAAGCUGGACAGUUCCAACCAGGCCAGGUUUGAAAUUGAGGUCCUGCCAUUGGAAGCUGGGACUGGGUCUUUGGGGAGUGACCAGCAGUCCACGGGAGCCCCAGCCCCUGGGGCAGCUGGGCCCUCAGUGGGCAGUGGCCCCUCAGUGUGGGUAACAGGAUGAGCAUCCUCUGGGUCGCGUUACCCCUGACCUUCGGUGGCAGCCCUGCCCUGGAACUCUCGGGGCCUGGGUUUCCAGUUUGAUGAGACGAAGCCUCGUUCACCUGCUGCCUCCUCUGUUUGGUCCUAUUCUCUGUCACCUUCCUAUCAUGACUUGUAUUUAAGCCAACUCACUUUUUGGAUUUUAUGAAUAUAUAUUUAAAUGGGAAACGUUAUAACAUGCAAUAAUCCCUCAGCGUUGGCAUCGCUUGCUUGAAAUCAUCCAAAUAAACACCGAACAGCAGCGAGGCCAGGGGAGGUGCUUUGGGCCAUUGGCUCCUGCCCUGUCCGGGGCUCCCAGCCUGAGGCCUGCCUUGUCUCUUUU
rnacentral:lncRNA from 1 species